GUUUCAACCAUCAAGGGGAUAACCUCCGACACACUCCAAAAAUUCAUCCUUCACUGGUUUUUUUUCUAUUAACGAUCUUAAGAAACAGCGAAAUACUUUUCUAUUCUUUUUUAAAAAUUUAGAGCUGAUUGAGUGAAAUUUUUGAAAAUCUUUUUCCAUUUUUUUUAUGGGUGAUAAUACUGAGUUACGAUCAGAUGAAGAGCAACCACCUCCCGCGCAAAUCCCUUUGCUCAGUUCAAACCUUCAAAACGACGCCGUUGGAGGCCUCCACCAGCGGCAGCAAGAGAUCCGAACGAGUAACCGUCUCGAUGAUUCGUUGGAAUAUUUGGAGAGGUUUUUGACCUGCCUCGGUUUCAACCAGUCGUCUUUGCUGAGUUUUUCUUUAUCUUGGGCGGCGUUCACGGUGGUCGGGGUUUUGGUCCCUGUUUUAGCGCUGGAACUUUCUCAAUGCGACGGUUGUGAGAUGUACCAGAUUAAGAAUUUCGAGGUCGGUAUCGUGGCUUCUCAGGCUUGUUUGGCGGCCGUUUCUUUGUUUUGCAUUUCGUUUAAUCUCCGAAAGUACGGCAUCCGGAGGUUUUUGUUCGUUGAUCGAUACGGUGGUCAAAUGGUUCGCUUUACCGAUCUCUAUGUUAAGCAGAUUGCGGCUUCUAUGCGCCUGCUGAUAUGGUGGUUGCUUCCAUGCUUUAUUUUGAAGACAGCACGUGAGGUUAUCCGAAUUUUAUAUGUGCAACACGAUUCACGGUGGAUAUCUGUUGCUAUUUCAGUACCUUUGACUUUGUCCUGGACUUAUGUUAGUACGAUUAGUCUAUCCGCCAGCAUCUUGUUUCAUUUACUCUGCAACUUGCAAUUCAUUCACUUUGAUGAUUAUGCAAAACUCUUGGAAAGGGAAUCCGAUGUUAUGGUAUUUAUAGAGGAGCACAUUCGACUGCGGUAUCAUCUCUCCAAGAUAAGCCAUAGGUUCCGGAUUUUUCUUCUUUUACAGUUCUUGGUUGUCACGGUUAGCCAAGUUGUGACUCUUUUCCAGACAACAGUUUAUAGUGGAAUGAUUAACUUGAGCAAUGGCGGUGAUUUUGCAAUCUCCGCGAUUGUUCAGGUAGUUGGGAUCAUUCUUUGCUUGCAUGCAGCCACCAGAAUUUCUCAUAGAGCUCAAGGAAUUGCAUCUUUUGCAUGUAGAUGGCAUGCAUUGGCGACAUGUACAUCUACUGAUGCUUGCCUGAGACAUUCAAACAGUUUAGGAAGCAUGGAACCUUUAAGUCAAUCAAACUUGCUAGAUAUUACUUUUUCGGAAAGUGAUCUGGAUUCGAUGGAUUACAUUGCCAUGCCUACAACCACACAGUUGGCUUCUUAUAUGUCUUCAUAUCACAGAAGACAAGCUUUUGUGAUGUAUUUGCAAGCCAACCCUGGGGGCAUUACUAUAUUUGGAUGGACGGUUGAUCGGGGACUUAUCAACACAAUAUUUUUCCUUGAACUUACUCUGGUGACCUUCGUACUUGGACAAACCGUAGUCUUCAAUUCUGCAUGAUAAAACCUCCGAUCAUCAAAUCAGCUUUUUCCAGAGAUCACACCUUCAAAAUGAGUUUUUUUUUUUUCAGAUUUACGGACCGAUGAUUGUUGUUAGAUCAUAGCAUUGUUGAAAUGACUCGACAACCGCUGCGAUUGGUAAAUUGUUAGAAAUGGCUGAAGCAGCUAUAACGGAGUUAGCCAAGGUUUUGCGAUGAUAAGGCUGUUGGCUGAAGGUUUUGGAAGGUUUGUAGACUGCGACAUUCGGAAUUCUACGAUCUAGACGGUUGGCAGGCGUCGUCCAAGUUCGAGUUUCCUAAUUACACCGUUGGUUGGAAGGUUGGAAAGACAACAAUUUAUAUCCUUCAAUUUCCUACUUGAUUUAUUUCUUUAAUCCUUAAUUUUAUUUAUCAAUUCUCUAAUUUUGGCCACUUACUUUCUCUCUUUGUUUUCUUUAUUUAAUCCUUUAAUUCCAUAUUUAAAUUUUGAUUUAUUUUUGUAUCUAAUUUCAGAUCGAAACUUCAUCUACUAUAAUCUAUUCAAAUCCAAAUUCUUAAAAUCAA